rnacentral:rRNA from 1 species
CCUACGGGUGGCAGCAGUAGGGAAUAUUGCUCAAUGGGGGAAACCCUGAAGCAGCAACGCCGCGUGGAGGAUGAAGGUUUUCGGAUUGUAAACUCCUUUUGUUAGAGAAGAUAAUGACGGUAUCUAACGAAUAAGCACCGGCUAACUCAGUGCCAGCAGCCGCGGUAAUACGGAGGGUGCAAGCGUUACUCGGGAUCACUGGGCGUAAAGAGCGCGUAGGCGGGAUAGCAAGUCAGAUGUGAAAUCCUAUGGCUUAACCUUAGAACUGCAUUUGAAACUGUUAUUCUAGAGUAUGGGAGAGGUAUGUGGAAUUCUUGGUGUAGGGGUGAAAUGCGUAGAGAUCAAGAGGAAUACUCAUUGCGAAGGCGACCUGCUAGAACAUAACUGACGCUGAUGCGCGAAAGCGUGGGGAGCAAACAGGAUUAGAUACCCUAGUAGUC